rnacentral:rRNA from 1 species
UACGAAGGGGGCUAGCGUUGCUCGGAAUUACUGGGCGUAAAGCGCACGUAGGCGGCUUUGUAAGUCAGGGGUGAAAGCCCGGAGCUCAACUCCGGAAUUGCCUUUGAGACUGCAUCGCUUGAAUCACGGAGAGGUGGGUGGAAUUCCGAGUGUAGAGGUGAAAUUCGUAGAUAUUCGGAAGAACACCAGUGGCGAAGGCGGCCCACUGGACGUGUAUUGACGCUGAGGUGCGAAAGCGUGGGGAGCAAACAGG